rnacentral:snRNA from 1 species
CAGCCGUGCAGUGAGCACAGAGCGAACUAUUCUUUCGCCUUUUACUAAAGAAUACCGUGUGCUUGUUGCAAUAUAGCGGCAUACUCCAAUUUUUAGAGGGUUCCAAGCCAUUUGGGUU